rnacentral:rRNA from 1 species
UUUCCUACGGGACGCAGCAGUGAGGAAUAUUGGUCAAUGGGCUUACGCCUGAACCAGCCAAGUCGCGUGAGGGAAGACUGCCCUAUGGGUUGUAAACCUCUUUUGUCAGGGAGCAAUUGGCGCUACGUGUAGCGUUAUCGAGAGUACCUGAAGAAAAAGCAUCGGCUAACUCCGUGCCAGCAGCCGCGGUAAUACGGAGGAUGCGAGCGUUAUCCGGAUUUAUUGGGUUUAAAGGGUGCGCAGGCGGAAGAUCAAGUCAGCGGUAAAAUUGAGAGGCUCAACCUCUUCGAGCCGUUGAAACUGGU